GGUUAAGUGACUAAGCGUACAUGGUGGAUGCCUUGGCAGUCAGAGGCGAUGAAGGACGUACUAACCUGCGAUAAGCCGUGAGCAGUCGGUAAGAGACAUUACGACUCACGGAUUUCCGAAUGGGGAAACCCACUUAGCAUAAGCUCGGUAUCGCUGCGUGAAUACAUAGCGUAGCGAGGCGAACCGGGAGAACUGAAACAUCUAAGUACCCCGAGGAAAAGAAAUCAACCGAGAUUCCCUCAGUAGCGGCGAGCGAACGGGGAUUAGCCCUUAAGCAUCUUGGAAGUUAGUGGAACGGUCCUGGAAAGGCCGGCGAUACAGGGUGAUAGCCCCGUACACGAAAACAACCUUGAUGUGAAAUCGAGUAGGGCGGGACACGUGACAUCCUGUCUGAAUAUGGGGGGACCAUCCUCCAAGGCUAAAUACUCCUGACUGACCGAUAGUG
rnacentral:rRNA from 1 species